UCUACAGUCUUCAGUUCAGGUGUGACAGCUGCUCAGCACAGUGGCACUAGCCUGGAUUCACCUGCAGAUCCUGCUUAUCAUAUCAACAUCGAUCAAUUAGGAGUAGACCUCACCUCUCUGAGCUCAGCAGCUGACCAAUCACUGUCCAGCUCAGUCUCAAGCUCCGCCUAUCCUGCAGCCCAGGGAGGUUUUAUUUUCUCAGCAGACGGCGCCGACACUCCUGAUGUUAACGGAAAUGGUCGACAGACACUGCUGACAGACACAAAUACAGCGACUGAUCAAUUUGUUUCCUUCACUGAUCUUCAGACUGAGGUCACAGGUGGGGCAGACUCAGUGACCGGUCUUCAUGUUGACCUCACAGGUGAGACAGAUGGACUGAUGGAUCAAUACAGCAAUAGACUGAUCAAGAGUAUUGAUCACUGA
rnacentral:lncRNA from 1 species